rnacentral:piRNA from 1 species
UGAUCUGGGAUACUUUUCUUUGUCUACUUAA